rnacentral:lncRNA from 1 species
AUGCAUUAAUGUAAAAUAAUACAUAUUUAAAAGACCAUAGCAGUUUGUAGAAACUAUAUAUGGUAUUAUAAUUUUAAAAUAACUAGGACACUUCCAUAUUGAAUAAUUGUUAUGUCCCUUUUUCAGUGCAAUUCUUCUGGCUUGAGAGCACGACUUAUGACCAUUGUAGAAAUCACAACUGGAAGAAUCUGGCCCUGACGUGCUCAUGAAUCAUCUGAAUAACUUAAUACCCACUUCAGAUCAAGAGAGGACAGUGCAGAUGGGAGAGUAGAGGUAAUAUUCAAUACGGCACUUUUAAAUACGUUAAAACAAUGUUCUACAGCAUUUAUGGUCAGUGGAGUAAGUCCAUUUUUAAAUAUUACCUCCACACAUCACACUAUGUGUCAUGGUCAAUCAUAGGCUUGAUUUAAUUUUCCUUUAAGAUAAUUUGUUCAGUUCACAGCAACAUUGUCGAUUUUGUUCAAAGUAUCACUCUUCAUCUUUGUGCUAACCUUAUUGCAAGUAAUGAGUCUCAACCCUCGAAUCGGAUACGUUUCAUGAUGUUUGCUGAAAACUCAAAGUUGCUUUAUCUUAAAGUAGAAUUUAACAGCUAUAUUUUCACUGUCUAACAAACUGGACUGUAGUCUGCAACAUUGUGUUUGACCUUCAGGUAUUACAAAGAAGAAACAAGACUCCACUUAGAUUUGAUAAAUCAUCGAAAAGAACAGUUAAAGUUCUGAGAUUAUGGAAGCAAACCAGAUUUCUGGGCAACAAACACUGACUAUCUGUUUAUCCCAAGAGUUGUGCAAAUCCAUAUCAAAUACGAUACAGCGGCUAUAAUAGCCUUCGGGGCAUGCUCUCAAACAACCGAGAACUGGCAGCCCAGAGAAAACAGAAUUUAUGGACUUGGUAUUGCAAUCUUAAGGUACAUAAGAAGAGCAAUGAAUCUGAAGCAGAUCUGUCAUAUACCUAGACAAAUGUCUGAAAUUCCUGACAACGACCAUAAAAUAGGAGGGAGAGAGGAAAUUGGGUUUCGCUCUGGAGAGGCCGAUCACAACAUUUUAAACAUGAGAUGAAAGGUGUUAAAAAGAGGAAGAUGGAGAGAGCUGUGAUACAUUCUACUUAUGAUGCAUAUGGUACCUUGGGAAUUAUUUUAACCAGACAACUGAUGCUUUCCAAAUAAAUGUAUCGCAUUGAAUAUACUUUACUUGGACUGCAACAGUAGCUCUGUGGCUAUGAAACAUUAUCUUUUCUCUGCACAUCUGGCGAACAGACAAGACAAAACAAAGAAAAAUAUAUAUAGAACUCUAUAACAUAAUUGAAUUAAAAUGGGCUAUGGUGAAAAAUAUGAUACUUGAUGCAGAUAGGACUUUGAAUGGUGGAUGAAGGGAAAUUGUUACAGCUGAUCGAGAACAUGUGCUUUUUGUUUGAACUCAGGCAGAGACAACCAAUAAUUUUUCUGGCUGCAUUUAUGAAACCUAUCAUGUCUUGAAUGCAGAGAAAAUAGACAGGUGUCUGAUGUCGUAAAUACGCUGGGGAAUAGGGUGGAAUCUCACAGGCCUUCACAAAUGGAUUUACUUAAAGG